rnacentral:rRNA from 1 species
AUUGAACGCUGGCGGCAUGCUUUACACAUGCAAGUCGGACGGCAGCACAGAGAAGCUUGCUUCUUGGGUGGCGAGUGGCGAACGGGUGAGUAACAUAUCGGAACGUACCGAGCAGUGGGGGAUAACUAAUCGAAAGAUUAGCUAAUACCGCAUAUAUUCUGAGGAAGAAAGCAGGGGACCAUUUGGCCUUGCGCUGUUUGAGCGGCCGAUAUCUGAUUAGCUGGUUGGUGGGGUAAAGGCCUACCAAGGCGACGAUCAGUAGCGGGUCUGAGAGGAUGAUCCGCCACACUGGGACUGAGACACGGCCCAGACUCCUACGGGAGGCAGCAGUGGGGAAUUUUGGACAAUGGGCGCAAGCCUGAUCCAGCCAUGCCGCGUGUCUGAAGAAGGCCUUCGGGUUGUAAAGGACUUUUGUCAGGGAAGAAAAGGCUGUUGCUAAUAUCGACAGCUGAUGACGGUACCUGAAGAAUAAGCACCGGCUAACUACGUGCCAGCAGCCGCGGUAAUACGUAGGGUGCGAGCGUUAAUCGGAAUUACUGGGCGUAAAGCGAGCGCAGACGGUUACUUAAGCAGGAUGUGAAAUCCCCGGGCUCAACCUGGGAACUGCGUUCUGAACUGGGUGACUAGAGUGUGUCAGAGGGAGGUAGAAUUCCACGUGUAGCAGUGAAAUGCGUAGAGAUGUGGAGGAAUACCGAUGGCGAAGGCAGCCUCCUGGGAUAACACUGACGUUCAUGCUCGAAAGCGUGGGUAGCAAACAGG